rnacentral:rRNA from 1 species
AACGUAGGUGGCAAGCGUUAUCCGGAUUUACUGGGCGUAAAGGGUGUGCAGGCGGGGUUGCAAGUGGGGGCUGAAAUCUCCCGGCUUAACCGGGAGGGGUUAUGCCAGACUGCAAUUCUAGAGGACGAGAGAGGGGGGUGGAAUUCCGGGUGUAGUGGUGAAAUGCGUAGAGAUCCGGAGGAACCCCAGAGGCGAAGGCGGCCCCCUGGCUCGUACCUGACGCUCAGCCACGAAAGCAUGGGGAGCAAACGGG